rnacentral:rRNA from 1 species
GUCCACGCCGUAAACGAUGGGCACUAGGUGUCGGGGGUAUCCACUCCCUCGGUGCCGCCGCUAACGCAUUAAGUGUCCCGCCUGGGAAGUACGGUCGCAAGAUUAAAACUCAAAGGAAUUGACGGGGGCCCGCACAAGCGGUGGAGCAUGUGGUUAAAUUCGAUGCUACGCGAAGAACCUUACCUGGGUUUGACAUCUGGCGAAUUUUUUGGAAACAGAAAGUGCCCGCAAGGGAACGCCAAGACAGGUGCUGCAUGGCUGUCGU